rfam:Archaeon CG2_30_31_98 isolate CG2_30_31_98 cg2_3.0_scaffold_4484_c, whole genome shotgun sequence.
UAUCUGGUUGAUCCUGCCAGAGAGUGCUACUAUCAGUGUUUGAUAAGCCAUGCUAGUUGAGAGGUGUAAGACCUCGGCGCACCGCUGAGUAACACGUGAAGAAUUCGCCCUGAAAUGCAAGAUAAGCUCGCGAAAGUGAGAAUAAUAUUGCAUAGAAGAUAUUAUUGAGAUAUGUAUCUUUAAAAGAUUUAUCGUUUCAGGAGAACUUUGCGUCUUAUCAGCCUGUUGGUGGGGUAAUGGCCCACCAAAGCUACGACAAGUACGGGAGGUGAAAGCCUUAGCCCGCAGCUGGUUACUGAAACAUGGAACUAGGUCCUAAGGGAUGCAGCAGGCGCGAAAUUUCUGCAAUGCGCGAAAGCGCGACAGAGAAACGCUGAGUGUUUUAGGCAUUUUUGUUUAAAGCUUUUACUGAAUUUAAAAAGUUCAGAGAAUAAGGAGUGGGCAAGACGAGUGGCAGCCGCCACGGUAAUACUCGCUCUUCAAGUGGUACUCACGAUUAUUUGGUUUAAAGAGUCUGUAGCUGGUUUGGUAAGUUUGCACAAAAAACUCAGAACUUAAUUUUGAGACUGCGCAAAAACCGCCAAACUUGAGAAUGAGGGGAGUUAUCUUUGGUCCCAGAGUAGCGAUCAAAUGUGUUGAUACUGGGAGAAAAAGCAAUAGCGAAGGCAGAUAACUAAUUCAUAUCUGACAGUGAGAGUCGAAGGCUAAGGUAGCAAAGUGGAUUAGAUACCCAUGUAGUCUUAGCAGUAAAGGAUGCAAUUUAGGUGGAUGAUUAGCUUUGUGCUAAUUAUCUGCGUUACAGCGAAAGCGUUAAAAUUGCCACCUGGGGAGUACGGCCGCAAGGCUGAAACUUAAAGGAAUUGGCGGGGGAAUACUACAAGGGGCGCGACCCGCGGUUCAAUUGAAUAAUACACCGGAAAACUCACCUAGAUUGACAGCAGAAUGAUGGUCAACCUAAAGGGAUUACCUAACACGCUGAAAGGUAUUGCAUGGCCGUCGUCAGUUCGUGCCGUGAGGCGUUUUAUUAAGUUAAAUAACGAACAAGACCUGAGCUUACACUUACUAUCUCUAAAAGAAGUACUGUGUAAGGACCGCUAGCGCUAAGCUAGAGGAAGGUUCAGGCAACGAUAGGUCUGUAUGGUCCGAAUGUCUAGGGCUACACGCAGGUAACAUUGAUAAAAACAACGAGUUGCAACGCCGAAAGGUGAAGCCAAUCUCUAAAUUUUAUCUUAGUUUAGAUCGAGGAUUGUAACCCAUCCUCGUGACACCGGAGUCCCCAGUAAUCGCGCGUUAUCAUCGCGCGGUGAAUAUGUCCCUUUUCCUUGCACACACCGCCUAUCAAACCAAUCAAGUAUGGUCGGAAUGCAAAAUUAUCUUUGGUAGUUUUAAGUUCUGGCUAUGUGAGAAGGGUUAAGUUAUAACAAGGUAUCCGUAGGUGAACCUGCGGAUCGAUCACCUCCU